rnacentral:rRNA from 1 species
AGGAUGAACGCUGGCGGCGUGCUUAACACAUGCAAGUCGAACGAUGAAGGCUGGAGCUUGCUCUGGCUGGAUUAGUGGCGAACGGGUGAGUAACACGUGAGUAACCUGCCCCAGACUCUGGGAUAAGCGCUGGAAACGGCGUCUAAUACCGGAUACGAGCUUCCACCGCAUGGUGAGGAGCUGGAAAGAAUUUCGGUCUGGGAUGGACUCGCGGCCUAUCAGCUUGUUGGUGAGGUAAUGGCUCACCAAGGCGACGACGGGUAGCCGGCCUGAGAGGGU